rnacentral:rRNA from 1 species
UGGGGAAUUUUGGACAAUGGGCGAAAGCCUGAUCCAGCAAUGCCGCGUGUGUGAAGAAGGCCUUCGGGUUGUAAAGCACUUUUGUCCGGAAAGAAAUCCUUGGCUCUAAUACAGUCGGGGGAUGACGGUACCGGAAGAAUAAGCACCGGCUAACUACGUGCCGGCAGCCGCGGUAAUACGUAGGGUGCAAGCGUUAAUCGGAAUUACUGGGCGUAAAGCGUGCGCAGGCGGUUUGCUAAGACCGAUGUGAAAUCCCCGGGCUCAACCUGGGAACUGCAUUGGUGACUGGCAGGCUAGAGUAUGGCAGAGGGGGGUAGAAUUCCACGUGUAGCAGUGAAAUGCGUAGAGAUGUGGAGGAAUACCGAUGGCGAAGGCAGCCCCCUGGGCCAAUACUGACGCUCAUGCACGAAAGCGUGGGGAGCAAACAGGAUUAGAUACCCUGGUAGUCCCACGCCCUAAACGAUGUCAACUAGUUGUUGGGGAUUCAUUUCCUUAGUAACGUAGCUAACGCGUGAAGUUGACCGCCUGGGGAGUACGGUCGCAAGAUUAAAACUCAAAUGAAUUGACGGGGUCAUAGCUGUUUCC